UGUUUCACUGGAAGUUUCAGACUGUUUAUCUGAUACCGCAGAACCAGACUUAUCAUCAGAAGCACUCGAAUCUCCAUUCUCUGUGGCUGUGGUAGUGGUUGAAGAAUCUACUUGCUGGCUGUUACUGUCUGUGUCCGAUUUCUCUGUUACUUUAUCUACCGACGACUGUUCUUCACCGCCAGAUGAUGAACCCUCUGAAGUGCCAACUUCAUUCUGAGCUGUUCCAUCUGCAUUGUUCGAGGAUGUAUCAACUUGAUUCUGACCAGUCUCCUCUGCAUUUUGCGACAAUGAUACGCCCUGGUUUUCAGACACAUCUUCUGUUGUUGAUGUCUCUUGCUGGUUGUUCG
rnacentral:lncRNA from 1 species